AUGGCCCUGCAACAUCGCCCCAGCGCGUCGUGCUUCGCCGACCAGCUCCGCCUGGUGUAUGACCUCGCCGUCGGCGACUACCGCAAUGUGCCCGGCGUCGAGACCCACGUCCUCUCUUUCGGCUCCACCGCCGGCUUCGUCUCCGACGACAACUGUAGCAAGGAAGAGGCCGGCGUGAAGGAGGAGAAUGAUGACGACAGCAGCGACUACAGCGCCUUCGGCAAGCUCUUUGGCGUGUAG
rnacentral:rRNA from 1 species